UACGGGGGGGGGCAAGCGUUGUUCGGAAUUACUGGGCGUAAAGGGCUCGUAGGCGGCCAACUAAGUCAGACGUGAAAUCCCUCGGCUUAACCGGGGAACUGCGUCUGAUACUGGUUGGCUUGAGUUUGGGAGAGGGAUGCGGAAUUCCAGGUGUAGCGGUGAAAUGCGUAGAUAUCUGGAGGAACACCGGUGGCGAAGGCGGCAUCCUGGACCAACACUGACGCUGAGGAGCGAAAGCCAGGGGAGCAAACGGGG
rnacentral:rRNA from 1 species